CAAUUUUGACCUCAAAUCAGGUAGGACUACCCGCUGAACUUAAGCAUAUCAAUAAGCGGAGGAAAAGAAACCAACAGGGAUUGCCUCAGUAACGGCGAGUGAAGCGGCAAAAGCUCAAAUUUGAAAUCUGGUUGUCUCUGGCAGCCCGAGUUGUAAUUUGAAGAACGGUCCUUGGAGAGGCGCCUUGUCUAUGUUCCUUGGAACAGGACGUCGCAGAGGGUGAGAAUCCCGUUUGGCGAGGUGUGCUGAUCCGUGUAAGGGCUGUUCGACGAGUCGAGUUGUUUGGGAAUGCAGCUCUAAGUGGGUGGUAAAUUCCAUCUAAAGCUAAAUAUUGGCGAGAGACCGAUAGCGAACAAGUACAGUGAUGGAAAGAUGAAAAGAACUUUGAAAAGAGAGUGAAAAAGUACGUGAAAUUGUUGAAAGGGAAGGUUAUUAGAUCAGACUUAGGGUGGAGUUAUACUUGUCCCCUUGUGGGGCAUUCACUAGCUCCAUGUCUAGGCCAGCAUCGAUUGUUUGUGGCCGGAAAAGGGGCGGAGGAAUGUGGCUGUGCCCUUAGCUGGUGCAGUGUUUAUAGCCUCUGCCUUAUGCGGCCUAGCUCGAUCGAGGACUGCGGCUGUCUAACAGCCUAGGAUGCUGGCGUAAUGAUCUAAUAUCGCCCGUCUUGAAACACGGACCAAGGAGUCU
rnacentral:rRNA from 1 species